rnacentral:rRNA from 1 species
GCUGGCGGCACGCCUAACACAUGCAAGUCGAACGAAGUAGCAAUACUUAGUGGCAGACGGGUGAGUAACAUGUAGGUAUCUGCCCUUUGGCCUGGAAUAACACGAGGAAACUUGUGCUAAUACUGGAUAAGUCUUUACGGAGAAAGCUUUAUGCACCAUUGGAUGAGCCUGCACUUGAUUAGUUUGUUGGUGGGGUAAUGGCCUACCAAGACUGUGAUCAAUAGCUGAUUUGAGAGGAUGAUCAGCCACAUUGGGACUGAGACACGGCCCAAACUCCUACGGGAGGCAGCAGUGGGGAAUCUUGCACAAUGGAGGAAACUCUGAUGCAGCGAUGCCGCGUGAGUGAAGAAGGCCUUUGGGUUGUAAAGCUCUUUCGUCGGGGAAGAAAAUGACUGUACCCGAAUAAGAAGGUCCGGCUAACUUCGUGCCAGCAGCCGCGGUAAUACGAAGGGACCUAGCGUAGUUCGGAAUUACUGGGCUUAAAGAGUUCGUAGGUGGUUGAAAAAGUUGGUGGUGAAAUCCCAGAGCUUAACUCUGGAACUGCCAUCAAAACUUUUCAGCUAGAGUAUGAUAGAGGAAAGCAGAAUUUCUAGUGUAGAGGUGAAAUUCGUAGAUAUUAGAAAGAAUACCAAUUGCGAAGGCAGCUUUCUGGAUCAUUACUGACACUGAGGAACGAAAGCAUGGGUAGCGAAGAGGAUUAGAUACCCUCGUAGUCCAUGCCGUAAACGAUGUGUGUUAGACGUUGGAAAUUUAUUUUCAGUGUCGCAGCGAAAGCGAUAAACACACCGCCUGGGGAGUACGACC